CUCAGUGUCUCUAAAGGGGAUGUUUCCUGUGCAAAUUGGUAUUUAUGUAUUCAGAAUGAUGUCUAAACUGAUUUUCUGAACGACUUGUGGAAGCUUGCAGGCUUUCAGGCUUGUCAGAUGCCAGGGACAGCUUGACAGAUGCCAGGAGGAGACACCACAGAGCCCUUCCUUCUCCAGUCGUAGCUUCCCCAGGCAUGAGGACCACGUGGAGAUGCAGAGUGAGAGAUGUCUCUGAUGACAACCGCCUGGCUGAGGAGAGACGGUGAAUUUUGUGGCUUCUGCACAGGUUAUUUAAAACCAAACGUGGUAAAUUGGAGUGGAAGAUGCACCUCCUCUGAGCUCCUUGAUCAGGCUGACAUUUGGAACACUUAGCAGAGAGCAAGGUUUGUAACCUUUUCUGCAAGUGUCAUCGUGUUUUCCUUCUUGCACUGCCAUCGCCCUAAGAA